rnacentral:rRNA from 1 species
AUUGAACGCUGGCGGCAUGCUUUACACAUGCAAGUCGAACGCGAAAGGGGGCAACCCUGAAUAGAGUGGCGCACGGGUGAGUAAUGCAUCGGAACGCGUCCUGUAGCGGGGGAUAACCUAGCGAAAGCUAGGCUAAUACCGCAUACGCCCUGAGGGGGAAAGUGGGGGAUCGCAAGACCUCACACUAUAGGAGCGGCCGAUGCCGGAUUAGCUAGUUGGUGGGGUAAAAGCUCACCAAGGCGACGAUCCGUAGCUGGUCUGAGAGGAUGAUCAGCCACACUGGGACGGAGACACGGCCCAGACUCCUACGGGAGGCAGCAGUGGGGAAUUUUGGACAAUGGGCGCAAGCCUGAUCCAGCAAUGCCGCGUGCAGGAAGAAGGCCUUCGGGUUGUAAACUGCUUUUGUACGGAACGAAAAGGUCUGGGUUAAUACCCUGGGCACAUGACGGUACCGUAAGAAUAAGCACCGGCUAACUACGUGCCAGCCGCCGCCGUAA